rnacentral:rRNA from 1 species
UGGUCAAGUUAUUAAGGGUGCAGGGCGGAUGCCUUGGCACUAGGAGCCGAUGAAGGACGUGAUAAGCUGCGAUAAGCUUCGGGGAGUUGCACGUAAACUUUGAUCCGAAGAUUUCCGAAUGAGGAAACUCACUUAGAGUAAUGUCUAAGUAUCAUUAAGUGAAUACAUAGCUUAAUGAGGGGAACUCAGGGAACUGAAACAUCUAAGUACCUGAAGGAAGAGAAAGAAAUUCGAUUCCGUAAGUAGCGGCGAGCGAACGCGGAUUAGCCCAAACCAAUAAAGUUUUCUUUAUUGGGGUUGCGGACAUAUCAUAACGAAGAGGUAUCGUAAUUGAAGAGGUUUGGAAAGACCCACCACAGAAGGUAAUAGUCCUGUAUGUUAAACGAGAAGACUUUAGAUAUGAUCCAGAGUACCACGGGACACGUGAAACCCUGUGGGAAGCAGGAGGGACCACCCUCCAAGGCUAAAUACUACCUAGUGACCGAUAGCGUAUAGUACCGUGAGGGAAAGGUGAAAAGAACCCCGGGAGGGGAGUGAAAUAGAACCUGAAACCCUGCACUUACAAGCUGUGGAAGCACAUUUCUUGUGUGACCGCGUACUUUUUGUAGAACGGGCCAACGAGUUACGUUAAGUAGCAAGGUUAAGCACUUAAGGUGCGGAGCCGUAGCGAAAGCGAGUUUUAACUGAGCGUUCAGUUACUUGACGUAGACCCGAAACCGGGCGACCUACCCAUGAGCAGGAUGAAGCGAAAGUAAAAUUUCGUGGAGGUCCGAACCCACGAGCGUUGAAAAGCUCGGGGAUGACUUGUGGGUAGCGGUGAAAUUCCAAUCGAGCCCGGAGAUAGCUGGUUCUCCCCGAAAUAGCUUUAGGGCUAGCCUCAAGGUGAGAGAUACGGAGGUAGAGCACUGAAUGUCCUAGGGGUAUUGCACCUACCGAAGACUAUCAAACUCCGAAUGCCGUCAUCUUAUACUUGGGAGUCAGACUGUGGGUGAUAAGAUUCAUAGUCGAAAGGGCAACAGCCCAGAUCGUCAGCUAAGGUCCCUAAAUGUAAGUUAAGUGGUAAAGGAUGUGGGAUUGCACAGACAACCAGGAUGUUGGCUUAGAAGCAGCCACUCAUUCAAAGAGUGCGUAAUAGCUCACUGGUCGAGUGAUCCUGCGCCGAAGAUUUCCGGGGCUAAAACUUACUACCGAAGCUACGGCAUCAGUAAUGAUGGGUAGGGGAGCUUCCCAUACGGGUUGAAGCAUGACCGUAAGGACAUGUGGACAGUAUGGGAGUGAGAAUGUUGGCAUGAGUAGCGAGAUGUGGGUGAGAAUCCCACAGGCCGUAAACCCAAGGUUUCCAGGGGGAAGGUUCGUCCGCCCUGGGUUAGUCGGGACCUAAGCUGAGGCCGAAAGGCGUAGGUGAUGGACAACAGGUUGAUAUUCCUGUACUACCGAUAACUGUUUGAGGAGAAGGGAUGACACAGUAGGAUAAGCUAAGCACACUGUUGGUUAUGUGUGCCCAAGCAUUGAGGCAGUCAAAGUAGGCAAAUCCGCUUUGAUAAUGCUGGGAUGUGAUGGGGAGCGAAAUUUAGUAGCGAAGUAGCUGAUUUCACACUGUCAAGAAAAGUCUCUAUCGAGGUUAAAGGUACCCGUACCGCAAACCGACACAGGUGGGUGAGGAGAGUAUCCUAAGGCCAGCGAGAGAACUGUUGUUAAGGAACUCGGCAAAAUGACCCCGUAACUUAGGGAUAAGGGGUGCCACCAUCAGGUGGCCGCAGAGAAUAGGCCCAAGCGACUGUUUACCAAAAACAUAGGUUUCUGCUAAGUCGCAAGACGAUGUAUAGGAGCUGACGCCUGCCCGGUGCUGGAAGGUUAAGGGGAUCUGUUAGAGCAAUCGAAGCAGUGAACUUAAGCCCCAGUAAACGGCGGCCGUAACUAUAACGGUCCUAAGGUAGCGAAAUUCCUUGUCGGGUAAGUUCCGACCCGCACGAAAGGCGUAACGAUUUGGGCACUGUCUCAACAACAGACUCGGUGAAAUUGUAAUUCCGGUGAAGAUGCCGGAUACCUGCGACAGGACGGAAAGACCCCAUGGAGCUUUACUGUAGCUUGACAUUGGGUCUUGGUACUACAUGUACAGGAUAGGUGGGAGGCUUUGAAACCAGGACGCCAGUUUUGGCGGAGCCAUCCUUGGGAUACCACCCUUGUAGUACUGGGACUCUAACCAUAGGCCAUGAAUCUGGUCUUGGGACACUGUCAGGUGGGCAGUUUGACUGGGGCGGUCGCCUCCCAAAAAGGUAACGGAGGCGCUCAAAGGUUCUCUCAGUACGGUCGGAAAUCGUACGUAGAGUGUAAAGGCAAAGAGAGCUUGAUUGCAAGACAUACAGGUCGAGCAAGGAUGAAAAUCGGACUUAGUGAUCCGGUGGUUCUGCGUGGAAGGGCCAUCGCUCAACGGAUAAAAGCUACCCUGGGGAUAACAGGCUUAUCUCCCCCAAGAGUCCACAUCGACGGGGAGGUUUGGCACCUCGAUGUCGGCUCAUCACAUCCUGGGGCUGUAGUAGGUCCCAAGGGUUGGGCUGUUCGCCCAUUAAAGUGGUACGCGAGCUGGGUUCAGAACGUCGUGAGACAGUUCGGUCCCUAUCCGUCGCAGGCGUAGGAAAUUUGAGAAGACCUGUCCUUAGUACGAGAGGACCGGGAUGGACGUACCUCUGGUGUACCAGUUGUCCUGCCAAGGGCAUGGCUGGGUAGCUAUGUGCGGAAUGGAUAAGCGCUGAAAGCAUCUAAGCGCGAAGCCAACUUCAAGAUAAGAUUUCCCACCGCAAGGGUAAGACCCCAGAAAGACUAUCUGGUUGAUAGGUCGAAGGUGUAAGUGCAGCAAUGUAUUUAGCUUAUCGAUACUAAUAGGUCGAGGACUUGACCAAUAUUUAUU